rnacentral:misc_RNA from 1 species
CUUGUUAUUCUGAUCUAAGAAAACGAAAAAAUAAACAACAAAACUUCAAUAAAGUAAAAAUAAGUAGGUUUAAGUGUGGAUAUAAACUGAAAAACUUUAAGAAAAACAAUUUUACUGAUAAUGUCGGGAUCCGAUUCAGAGCCUGAAAACCACUGCUACUAUGGCACACCUCUUCCUGCAUAUGAUGAAGAUUCCAUCCCAAGAAAACGUCCAAUAACAGUAGAAGAACAAAUUGCCACUGAUGCCCAGGGACGGCGUAGAUUUCAUGGAGCCUUCACAGGGGGAUUUUCAGCUGGCUUUUUUAACACAGUGGGUUCCCUGGAGGGUUGGACACCAAAGGAGUUUAAAAGUUCAAGAUCAGAAAAGACUAGCCAUCUCUCUCAGAAACCAGAAGAUUUCAUGGAUGAUGAAGAUUUGGGUGAAGAUGGAUUUGCUCCUCAAGUUGUUAGGGCUACCAAUGAGUAUAAUACUAGUAGGAAAAGAAAGAAACAGGUUUUUUCUGAAGGUCCAAUCCCAGGUGAACCAGUUCUACAUAACAUAUUUUCCAGUGGAAAUGAAACUAUUGGUUACAUGCUUUUAAAGAACUUGAGACUAAAAGAUCACAAGAAGCAAAAAGAGUCAGGUUCAGAAAGAACUUAUGGAUGUCAAAUGCCAAAGCCAGAUGAAAGUGAUAUUAUAUUUAAAGAAGAGAAUCAAUAUCAAAUACCAGCCAUUUAUAAAGAUUUUUUAAAAACCCCAAAAACGAAUACAUUUGGUUUAGGGUAUAGUGGCUUGGACAAAAGUCAAUUUAGUUUAUUUUCCACAGAGGAGAAACAGUCAAGCAAGUUAAUGAUGACUGAUAAAAACAACAAGAAAUUAUCAAUAAGUGGUCAGGCCUUUGGGGUGGGGGCAUUUGAAGAUGAAGAUGAUGAUAUUUAUAUGAAGGAAGAUAUGACAAGAUAUGAUUUUGAGUUAACAGGAGAAAAAGCGAAAAAAGAACAGCAAAAAACUCAGAGUAAUCUCAUUUUUGACUUGUUCGUGCAGUCCAAGGUGAACCCUGUAUUGAAGAGUAAUGUAAAGUUUCCUCCGCCUACCAUCCCAUAUAGUUUCACAGGAAAACACAAAAUUAAAAAAAGCAGGUUCGAGCCAAUUCCUGAAAAUGAGGCAGUUUCAAGCACAAUCAAAAUAAAUCCAAUGAUCAGGGCAAAAUAUCUUGGAGAGGAUACUAAUGAACAUAUUACUCCAUCCAAACCAGUUAAAGUGAAAGAAGAGACCUUAGAUAAUAAACCAAAGGAGACUUCUAAAAAAUUAGAGCCGUCUGGUUCUCAAGCUUCUUCAAAUAUUGACACAUAUUUAACAGACAGGUUUGUGUCAUCUUCAAAAGUCGAAGAUGUUAGCAACAUAUUAGAACCUGUGGAGAGGAUAGAAACUAUUCAUGGUACAGAUCAGAUGAGAGAUGCUGUGAGGAUGAAGAUGUUUGGCCCUUUGACAAGGGUUACGUCUGAUUGGGUUCCUUCUUCGCUUUUGUGUAAAAGGUUUAAUGUACCAGAACCUUUUGUUGAUCGACCUGAAAGCUCUAGGAAAAGAACCAAAAACAUAAUCUUCCAGUAUCAAAAGCACAUUGAAGAAGAGACUUUACAGCCUGGACUUAACAAGGAAGAACCGCCAAUACCUGAACUACCUGAAGGCUCUAUUGAACCAGAAAUUAAACAAGAAAAUGAUCCUGUUACGAAUAAAACUACAGAUGAAAAUAACACCCAAGAACCAGAAAUAAACGAGAAAAAUAUUAGUGCGGAUAAAACUUGUGUGGAAGACUUAACAGCGAAAAUAGACUUGGAAAGCAAACAAGAUUUGUUUAAAGCUAUAUUUAUGAGCAGUGAUAGUGAAUCUGAUGAAGAACGUCAAGAAAAUAAAAACGAAGUUUCCACCAAUAAAGCAGAUAAUGAAAAACAAAACGAAUUAAAAACCGCAGUGCUUUCGGACCAGUUAAUCCCAAAAAUUAUCCCCAGAAAAGAAGGAAUUUUGUCAGGUAUCGAUUGCCGGACAUUUUCAAUGCCUGUUGUUAAAACAGAAAAAAAAAUUCCUGAAAAUAUCCCGAAAGAAGAAUUAAAUGAUGGCUGGUAUGGACCAAAACUUCCUGAACAGAAGACUUCUCAGAAGACUGUAACUGUGACGGUGGUAUCUAGCGACAGUGAAGACGAGUGGGUAGAAAAAGGGGAGAGCACUAAAAAGAAGAAAAAAAAUAAAAAGGAGAAGAAACAUAAAAAACAUAAAAAGAAUAAGCAUGAGAAGAGUCAUAAGUAUAAGGACUGAUUUUAGUUUUCAAGUCUGUGGAGUAACUGUGAUAUUGAUUUGUAGGUAUUAAGACUUGUAGAAAUAUACUACUCAAAAUAAUUAUUUUAUAUUUAAUCAUAAAAUCGUGAAUGCUGUCUUAAUAUCCAACAAUAAUUAUACAACAACUUUUUUAAAUUAAACUAAUCGUUACACAUUUUUUUCCUUUUCACUGGAAAAUGUUAUACAUUCUUAAAUUUACUUUAUCAGAAAUUAUUGGAUUUUGAAUAUUAACAACAUGAACAAUGAUAACAGAUGACACACAAGGCAUUUAACGGAAGCUUACACUGUUAUUACAUUGUCUGGUCAAGGAUUUAAUCAAGAAAGAAUUGCACGUAAUGUACAUGUAGUACAAUCGUCAAUAAGUAGGGUCUUCAAGUCGAUACAGGGAUACUCUGGCAUUCACUAAACGUCAAGGACGUGUAAGGGCAAUAACAGCGGCACAGGAUCGACUCUACCACCCAGAAUAACGGCUAGAAAUUUACAAAAUCAACUGACACGAGUUUAUCAGAUAAGGAUUAGUCAUGAGACAGAAGCAGACUGAGAAAAAAUAAUUUAAGACCAAAAAGAGUAGCAACUGGUUCACUGUUCACAUGACAACAUCAUGCUGCCAGAUUAGCAUUUGCUAGAGAAUACAUCAACUGGAGGGCUAUAGCAUUCUCUCUCUGUCUGACGAGUCAAGACAAAAGAACUGGAAACAGAUUCAAACAAACCCGUAUUCGUAAAGUUAGAUGCUUUUGGUGGAGGAGGUUUAUGGUUUGGGGAGGAGUUUACCUAGGUAUUCGUACUGACCUCCAUAUAUCCCAACUGCUGAAAGGCGUAUUAGACAUUUUGCGAAAGUAAGUUAUCCGUUUUGCCCUAUUUGUUGUUAAUAAUUUCAUAUUAAUGCAUCAUAAUUUUCCACAACACACAGUCCGCAUACUGAGAUUCUUGCAAGAUACGGAUAUUGAGAUAAUGAAUUGUGCAGCUAGGUCGCCAGGUUUCUUCCAAUAGAAUACACGUGGGAUGCACUCGGAAGGACUGUUAGAAGCAAUUUAAAUCCACCAGAAGUCCUAUGUUUAAAAUAUGAUUAUACCUAUUGCAAAGACUCUGCAGGGCAUUCAUAAGAGCAAGAGGAGGCAAUACUGAAUACUAAUUUAUUUUAUUUUAUUAGAAACUGUGUAAUAGAUACAAUGGUUAAUUAUAUUGUUAAGUUUUAAUUUAAAUAAAACACUUGUUUUAUAGGGCCAAUUAUUUCUUUAUUUUUUUAGUAAAAUGUUGAAAAAAGUUUUUAUUUUUUCUCAGGGCACUUAUAAGUUAUACGGAAUAGUAUUUAAAUUUAUUUUUCAUGUAAACAAAAAUAAAAUUGGCAUAAAAAAUAUAUAAUAUGGUAGAUAACUGUUUUGAGUAGUUUAUGUCCAAGAGUUUUAGGGGAAGGUGUCCUAAAAUGACAUAAUUUUUAUUUAAAUCUUGUUUAUGCAAAAACCAUUUAAGAUAAUUAACUCAAAAUAAUACACCACGUUGCUUUAAAUAAACUUUAUUGACAAACAUAAACAAUAUUUCAACUCUAUUUAAAACUUGUAAGAAAAUGCAUUUUAAAAAACGUUACACUAUGUCGUUUUACAAACAUGUAUAUUGUAAAAUGACACAGUCGUGGGGUAUAAAAUGACAUAUACUUAAAACAAGUGAUAACACAAAUAGAACUUAUAAAAUAUAGUUAAAGAAAGUAAGCUAAUAAGGAAUGAGUCUUGGCAAAUCUCGCAAAUAAACUUUUCGACCUUUGGAGAAACUCCAGCACAUUCGCAAUGUGCCCAAUUGUGGCACUUCAUACAACUAAUCCAAGACUCCCUGGAUCGAGAAUUUUUGAAUAGAUCGUUGCAAUACAGGCAUGCCACUUCAUCCUCGGCUGCAAAAGGAUCUUCUUCACUUUCGCUUCGUGCAACAAAACUUGUCUCACCUGAAAGGUUCUUUUUAAAUUGACGCACAUUUUUUCACAAUUUCUUUUCUUUCUUUAUCUUUAACUUUUCUAAAUUGGGAGUAGUUGUUAAGACUCCGGUUAUAGUUUGUCUGGUCUUCCUUUUUUUUGGUUCCUCUUGCUACAGGCACUGGCGGAAUUUCCUGUAGAGAAAACCUUUUCCUUAAUGGUUGAUUUUGUUUUAUAUUGCUUUCUGUCUGAUCACCUCUCGGUUCAUUUUCUUUAUCGACACUUUUGCCUUGUUUUUGUCGCAUUGCUUCUUCUGUAACACUAAUUACUGUUAUUUCAUUGCUUGUUGAUGGUUGUUCUGGACGAUGGGAUGCUCCCUCUUCUAUGGUCGGUUCUAAUAAUCUAUUUGUUGUCUCAGCCGGCUCAAAAAACUCGUCUGGGAAAAUAUGUGGAUUAAAUGGAUAAAUUCCCGUAUUUAAAAAUGCGCUUGUGGCAUUUUUAAUUGUAGCUGCUUUCCCGUAAGCGGACGUAAACAGUUCACCAAUUUCAUGUAGUGUUAUUACUCUCCCUGGAUGGUUUUUCAACCAAAGUGCACAUUCCUGGUUAUAAAAUGUCUUUAGUGAUUUAGAGAUUUUAGAGACCAUAGAAGCUGACAUCCAGGGGCUGCAUAGGAUGGGUACAGUGGGCAGGAAAGCAUAAAGGGAUUAUUCCAUUUCUUCUGGCAAACGUCAAGGCAUUUAAUGAUUUGUGGCUAGUGUGCCCAUCCAGAAGUAAUAAAACUUUUGAGUUGGGAGAAGCUUUAACAAAAGUCUUAAAAAUGCUUUAACCACAAAGCAAAGGAAUCAGAUGUCAUCCAUCCAGUCUCGUUAAAUAAUCCCAAAGAACUUGGAGGUAAAGCAUCUAAAAGUUCCUCCUUUCUAUUUUUCCUAGGGAAAAUCAAAGCAGGUGGCACAAAAUUACCUACACUAUUCAUGCAGCAAACACAUGUUACAUGCUGACCUCUUUCAGCACUGGUUAAUGAUCCUACUUGUUUUCUUCCAGUUUUGGCAAAAAUUUUUGAAGGCCUUUGCACUGUGGACAAACCACUUUCGUCCAUAUUGUAAAUCCGAUGCACAUCAAUUUUUUCUUUUUUUAGGGUAUUUUCCAAUGUAUUAAAAAAAUUUUGCACUUGUGGCCUAUUAAAUGCCGUGGCUCUAGCCGCAGACACAGCUUCAGGCUGCCUUAGAGAUAUUUCAGGAUGUCGCAUAUGAAAUCCUCUCAGCCACUCUCGUCCAGCGCUACGAUCUUUAAAUCUAUUUGGAAUGCCAUUUUUAGUGGCAAACUCAUACGCAAGUUUCUUUAUAUCUGUUGUUGUUAUCCCGAACAAUCUAGGCUCAAGUAAUAAAUAGUAUAUGCUCAACUAACUCUCUUUCUUCGUCUUCAUUAAAUGUGGUUGGAAACCGACCCAAAACUUUCUGACAACCCUUAGCUCUUUUGUUUGUAUCAUUUGCUCUUUGCCUUAAUGUGGCUUGGGGGACAUUGAACAAUUUCGAUGCUUUCAGCCACCCCAUUUGGCCACCUUUUACAGCGUUAAUUGCACUUUGCAUUGCUUGUUCAUCCCACGAUUGUCUAGUUGAUGUUCUUUCACGUUUUCCUACCAUAAUGUAACUAAAAAUAAACAAAAAAUACAAUAUUCCUUAAAUUUAAAUUAAUUUGAUGUUUGUUUGUAAAAUGACAUAGUGUGCCAUUUUACCUUCAUGCCUAUCUGUAUCGUUUUACCCGCAGUAACAGAUAGUCCUUUGUUAAUGCAGAAUAAUCUUAUUUCAUAUUAAACGACAUUUCCGCUCACGUGAAUCUGAAGUAUACACUUACAUUUAAAUACUAAGUUGGA